rnacentral:rRNA from 1 species
CAUGCCUAAACAUGCAAGUCGAACGAAGUCUUCGGACUUAGUGGCGCACGGGUGCGUAACGCGUGGGAAUCUGCCCUUGGGUACGGAAUAACUCAGAGAAAUUUGUGCUAAUACCGUAUAAUGUCUUCGGACCAAAAAUUUAUCGCCCAAGGAUGAGCCCGCGUAAGAUUAGCUAGUUGGUGAGGUAAAAGCUCACCAAGGCGACGAUCUUUAGCUGGUCUGARAGGAUGAUCAGCCACACUGGGACUGAGACACGGCCCAGACUCCUACGGGAGGCAGCAGUGGGGAAUAUUGGACAAUGG